GGACUCACGUUUGGCUCAAACCCGUUAAGGUCGGCUCACACUAUAAAAGCCCUAUCGCUCUCCGAUGUCCAGAGAGCAACGAAGAGGAGCGAGAGGUCCUAUGCAGCGGACCUUGCAACCCCUGCCGGAUGGCGUCGAGUUUCGGAGAAAGUGUAGCCUCGCCGACCUUCCUAUUUUCUCACCCAGGCCACACUUUACCUUGCCUCAAAUACCAUGGACCGAGUAUCCUUCUCCUGGUUCUCAGAUCACGCUGAAUCAACAGUCAUCUUCCUUCCAAGAUGAUGCUUCCUAGCUCUUAAUCUGAGGUGUUUGAUGUGUUUGUAAAGGUAUGUGAUAAUGGUG